UACAGAGGGUGCGAGCGUUGUUCGGAAUUAUUGGGCGUAAAGGGCGCGUAGGCGGUGCGGUAAGUCACCUGUGAAAUCUCCUGGCUCAACUGGGAGCUUGCAGGCGAAACUGCCGUGCUGGAGUGUGGGAGAGGUGCGUGGAAUUCCUGGUGUAGCGGUGAAAUGCGUAGAUAUCAGGAGGAACACCUGUGGCGAAAGCGGCGCACUGGACCACAACUGACGCUGAGGCGCGAAAGCUAGGGGAGUAAACAGG
rnacentral:rRNA from 1 species